rnacentral:rRNA from 1 species
GACGAACGCUGGCGGCGUGCUUAACACAUGCAAGUCGAACGAUGAAGCCGGAGCUUGCUCUGGUGAAUUAGUGGCGGACGGGUGAGUAACACGUGAGUAACCUGCCCUUGACUCUGGGAUAACUGCUAGAAAUGGUAGCUAAUACCGGAUACGACCCUCGGCGGCAUCGCCAGGGGGUGGAAAGAAUUUCGGUCAAGGAUGGACUCGCGGCCUAUCAGCUAGUUGGUGAGGUAACGGCUCACCAAGGCGACGACGGGUAGCCGGCCUGAGAGGGUGACCGGCCACACUGGGACUGAGACACGGCCCAGACUCCUACGGGAGGCAGCAGUGGGGAAUAUUGCACAAUGGGCGCAAGCCUGAUGCAGCAACGCCGCGUGAGGGAUGACGGCCUUCGGGUUGUAAACCUCUUUUAGUAGGGAAGAAGCGAAAGUGACGGUACCUGCAGAAAAGCACCGGCUAACUACGUGCCAGCCGCCGCAGUAA